AGUCGAACGAUGAAGCGGUGCUUGCACCGCUGGAUUAGUGGCGAACGGGUGAGUAACACGUGAGCAACCUGCCCUGGACUCUGGGAUAAGCGCUGGAAACGGUGUCUAAUACCGGAUAUGAGCCACGGCCGCAUGGUCGGUGGUUGGAAAGAUUUUUUGGUCUGGGAUGGGCUCGCGGCCUAUCAGCUUGUUGGUGAGGUAAUGGCUCACCAAGGCGUCGACGGGUAGCCGGCCUGAGAGGGUGACCGGCCACACUGGGACUGAGACACGGCCCAGACUCCUACGGGAGGCAGCAGUGGGGAAUAUUGCACAAUGGGCGGAAGCCUGAUGCAGCAACGCCGCGUGAGGGAUGACGGCCUUCGGGUUGUAAACCUCUUUUAGCAGGGAAGAAGCGUGAGUGACGGUACCUGCAGAAAAAGCGCCGGCUAACUACGUGCCAGCAGCCGCGGUAAUACGUAGGGCGCAAGCGUUAUCCGGAAUUAUUGGGCGUAAAGAGCUCGUAGGCGGUUUGUCGCGUCUGCUGUGAAAUCCCGAGGCUCAACUUCGGGCUUGCAGUGGGUACGGGCAGACUAGAGUGCGGUAGGGGAGAUUGGAAUUCCUGGUGUAGCGGUGGAAUGCGCAGAUAUCANGAGGAACACCGAUGGCGAAGGCAGAUCUCUGGGCCGUAACUGACGCUGAGGAGCGAAAGGGUGGGGAGCAAACAGGCUUAGAUACCCUGGUAGUCCAC
rnacentral:rRNA from 1 species